UCGCUUUGGUAGUGCAUAUACUAAAAAUUGGAAAUAUACAGAGAAGAUUAGCAUGGCUGCUGUGCAAGGAAGACAUACAAAUUUGUGAAGCAUUUCAUAUUUGU
ensembl:snRNA U6 U6 spliceosomal RNA